UAGCGGUCACUGGGGACUGAGGCCAUCUGUCCGGCAGCUCUUUGGCCCUCGGUUAUUCGGCUCCAGUCUCAGUUCUGACAAGUGCCCAGAAACAUGAGGUCCCUGAUUUCUCUCAGUCUGCUGCUGGCUGUCUUCUCCCGUGUCCAGGCCGAGGUGGUGCUGACACAGCCGCCGUCUCUAACCGGGAAACCUGGCCAUCCCCUGAGACUGACCUGUAAAACCAGUGGGUUUAAUCUCGGCAGCUACUACAUGAGCUGGGUCCGGCAGGUUCCCGGGAAGGGGCUGGAAUGGCUCCUCAUGUAUUACAGCUCAUCCAACAAUGCUUUCGCGCCUGGGAUUGAAGACCGUGUCACUGUCAUCAAAGAGAAUUCCAAUAACAUCUUCGAUUUGAUCAUCAAAAGCCCGAGAGUGGACGACACCGCCAUCUAUUACUGUGCGAGAGAGUCACAGUGAGAGGAAACGGGGCUGAACUCCUACAAAUACACAAGGGGAGGAAAGGCGGCCCCUCCCACCCUAAACUGCCUGACAGUCAUGGUGUCAAUGCUGUGUCUGGAGCGAAGAUUAAAGGAAAAGCUUCAAAUGGAUUUCUUCUCAUGUUAAACCUACACAGUGAGUCGUGGUUUGAUGGGGCGAAUGAUCUGCUUAUUGGUGCUGUAAUAUUCUGGGAUUUCAGUUGGUAAGUGACACUGUGCUGUUUGAGGCGGGAAGGACUGCGAUUGGAGACGGGCGAUGUGACGGUUCACAGAUAUCCUCUUGUUACAAACUGAGCUGUUGGAGAGAUUUGUUUUCUGUUUCUGUGGCUAUGAAGAAAGUAUUAGAUAGACUCGAUGUCAUGUCACAGGGGAAUAGGCCAUUUCAGUGAAUUUUGGCAGCCAGUGUUGAGCAGACAUUGAGGGCAGUAUUUGUAUGGGACUGUGUCACUGUGUACAACUUGGGGUCACAAUGCUGCACAUAGCCAUCUCCUCAUACAAAAACCCGAGCCAGAGAGGCUGCUCACCCCUGUCAUCACUGAAACAUCCACAGCCUCCAAAUAAAUGUUACAGAGAGUGGAUCCUUCUCAUAAAUGACCUGGUAUUUAACAGAUGAAUUCAGAAUGAUUUAGAUUACAGGACGGCAUUAAACAAGACUGACGUCUGUGGAGCUGCUUUAACAUUAAUCCAAAGUCUCUAAUAAACAUAAGGAUUUAUUCUGACUGAAACAUCACAUGAAGCCUCACUGGUGAAUCUGAGCUGAGGUCCAGUCAGUGUCUGAUAUUCCAGUCAAUAUUUGUUAGUUUAUCCUGUGCAGGAGUUUGUGUCACAGUGUGUAUCACUGUGAUAUAUGGACCACAGCAUUAACUGUCAAUACAAAAACCCUUCAACACCAAACCAGCUCAUGUCUCUCACUGUUCGCUUGUGUGGCCACUUAAUGUGCAGGGAUUUGGUUUGUUUAAAAUGCCGCCUUCCACUGAGGAUUUUACCAGAUUUUAAUCGACAUAAAACAUAACAUUUCAUCUUCAAUCUGUUGGUGACAAGAAAAGGUGUUUGACAUGAACACAGCAAACUGGCAAAGACACAAACAUUUAACAGGUCAACACAGAGCCGGGCAAUAGUGUUCAGAACAUUACAGAAAUAUAUCGUGACCUGCAUUUGGUUUGGGGGAGUCAACAUUUACAAUAAUAUUGUGUUGGUGUGUCCUGCCCGCACAGCA